CAGCAGCCGCGGUAAAACGGAGGGUGCGAGCGUUAAUCGGAAUUACUGGGCGUAAAGCGUACGCAGGCGGUUUGUUAAGUCAGAUGUGAAAUCCCCGAGCUUAACUCGGGAACUGCAUUUGAAACUGGCAGGCUAGAGUCUCGUAGAGGGGGGUAGAAUUCCAGGUGUAGCGGUGAAAUGCGUAGAGAUCUGGAGGAAUACCGGUGGCGAAGGCGGCCCCCUGGACGAAGACUGACGUUCAGGUACGAAAGCGUGGGGAGCAAACAGGAUUAGAUACCCGGGUAGUCCCUGUCUCUUAUAC
rnacentral:rRNA from 1 species